rnacentral:rRNA from 1 species
CACGUAGGGCGCAAGCGUUGUCCGGAAUUAUUGGGCGUAAAGAGCUCGUAGGCGGUCUGUUACGUCCGCUGUGAAAACCCAGGGCUUAACCCUGGGCUUGCAGUGGAUACGGGUAGACUAGAGGCAGGUAGGGGAGAAUGGAAUUCCCGGUGUAGCGGUGAAAUGCGCAGAUAUCGGGAGGAACACCAAUGGCGAAGGCAGCACUCUGGGACGUGACUGACGCUGAGACGCGAAAGCGUGGGGAGCAAACAGG